rnacentral:rRNA from 1 species
GAGGAAUAUUGGUCAAUGGGCGAGAGCCUGAACCAGCCAAGUCGCGUGAAGGAAGACUGCCCUAUGGGUUGUAAACUUCUUUUGUAAGGGAAUAAAAAGGGUUACGUGUAGCUCCUUGUAGGUACCUUACGAAUAAGGAUCGGCUAACUCCGUGCCAGCAGCCGCGGUAAUACGGAGGAUCCAAGCGUUAUCCGGAUUUAUUGGGUUUAAAGGGUGCGUAGGCGGGAUUUUAAGUCAGUGGUGAAAGUUUGCAGCUUAACUGUAAAAUUGCCAUUGAAACUGAAGUUCUUGAGUACAAAUGAGGUAGGCGGAAUGUGUUGUGUAGCGGUGAAAUGCAUAGAUAUAACACAGAACACCAAUUGCGAAGGCAGCUUACUGGGAUGUAACUGACGCUGAGGCACGAAAGCGUGGGGAUCAAAC